UGGGGAAUAUUUCACAAUGGGGGAAACCCUGAUGCAGCGACGCCGCGUGAAGGAAGAAGUAUUUCGGUAUGUAAACUUCUAUCAGCAGGGAAGAAGAUGACGGUACCUGAGUAAGAAGCACCGGCUAAAUACGUGCCAGCAGCCGCGGUAAUACGUAUGGUGCAAGCGUUAUCCGGAUUUACUGGGUGUAAAGGGAGCGUAGACGGAUAGGCAAGUCUGGAGUGAAAACCCAGGGCUCAACCCUGGGACUGCUUUGGAAACUGCAGAUCUGGAGUGCCGGAGAGGUAAGCGGAAUUCCUGGUGUAGCGGUGAAAUGCGUAGAUAUUAGGAGGAACACCAGUGGCGAAGGCGGCUUACUGGACGGUGACUGACGUUGAGGCUCGAAAGCGUGGGGAGCAAACAGG
rnacentral:rRNA from 1 species